rnacentral:rRNA from 1 species
GAGGAAAAGAAAUCAACCGAGAUUCCCCCAGUAGCGGCGAGCGAACGGGGAGCAGCCCAGAGCCUGAAUCAGUGUGUGUGUUAGUGGAAGCGUCUGGAAAGGCGCGCGAUACAGGGUGACAGCCCCGUACACAAAAAUGCACAUACUGUGAGCUCGAUGAGUAGGGCGGGACACGUGGUAUCCUGUCUGAAUAUGGGGGGACCAUCCUCCAAGGCUAAAUACUCCUGACUGACCGAUAGUGAACCAGUACCGUGAGGGAAAGGCGAAAAGAACCCCGGCGAGGGGAGUGAAAAAGAACCUGAAACCGUGUACGUACAAGCAGUGGGAGC